CGUAUCACCCAAGACAACUUUACGGAGUUGACGAUUGACGGAGCGAAGCGACGUCAAAGCGUUCAUUAAAGUCGAGUUGGCUUAGGGAUACGUUCGUUGGGUAGGGGAGCGUUCUGUAAGCCUGUGAAGGUGUGUCGUGAGGCAUGCUGGAGGUAUCAGAAGUGCGAAUGCUGACAUAAGUAACGAUAAAGCGGGUGAAAAGCCCGCUCGCCGGAAGACCAAGGGUUCCUGUCCAACGUUAAUCGGGGCAGGGUGAGUCGACCCCUAAGGCGAGGCCGAAAGGCGUAGUCGAUGGGAAACGGGUUAAUAUUCCCGUACUUGGUGUUACUGCGAAGGGGGGACGGAGAAGGCUAUGUUGGCCGGGCGACGGUUGUCCCGGUUUAAGCGUGUAGGUGUGUGUUCCAGGUAAAUCCGGUUCACUUUAACACUGAGGCGUGACGACGAGGCACUACGGUGCUGAAGCAACAAAUGCCCUGCUUCCAGGAAAAGCCUCUAAGCAUCAGGUAACAUCAAAUCGUACCCCAAACCGACACAGGUGGUCAGGUAGAGAAUACCAAGGCGCUUGAGAGAACUCGGGUGAAGGAACUAGGCAAAAUGGUGCCGUAACUUCGGGAGAAGGCACGCUGACACGUAGGUGAAGUGAUUUACUCACGGAGCUGAAGUCAGUCGAAGAUACCAGCUGGCUGCAACUGUUUAUUAAAAACACAGCACUGUGCAAACACGAAAGUGGACGUAUACGGUGUGACGCCUGCCCGGUGCCGGAAGGUUAAUUGAUGGGGUCAGCGCAAGCGAAGCUCCUGAUCGAAGCCCCGGUAAACGGCGGCCGUAACUAUAACGGUCCUAAGGUAGCGAAAUUCCUUGUCGGGUAAGUUCCGACCUGCACGAAUGGCGUAAUGAUGGCCAGGCUGUCUCCACCCGAGACUCAGUGAAAUUGAACUCGCUGUGAAGAUGCAGUGUACCCGCGGCAAGACGGAAAGACCCCGUGAACCUUUACUAUAGCUUGACACUGAACAUUGAGCCUUGAUGUGUAGGAUAGGUGGGAGGCUUUGAAGUGUGGACGCCAGUCUGCAUGGAGCCGACCUUGAAAUACCACCCUUUAAUGUUUGAUGUUCUAACGUGGACCCGUUA
rnacentral:rRNA from 1 species